GACGAACGCUGGCGGCGUGCUUAACACAUGCAAGUCGAACGGAAGGGCCCUGCUUUUGUGGGGUGCUCGAGUGGCGAACGGGUGAGUAACACGUGAGUAACCUGCCCUUGACUUUGGGAUAACUUCAGGAAACUGGGGCUAAUACCGGAUAGGAGCUCCUGCUGCAUGGUGGGGGUUGGAAAGUUUCGGCGGUUGGGGAUGGACUCGCGGCUUAUCAGCUUGUUGGUGGGUAGUGGCUUACCAAGGCUUUGACAGGUAGCCGGCCUGAGAGGGUGACCGGCCACAUUGGGACUGAGAUACGGCCCAGACUCCUACGGGAGGCAGCAGUGGGGAAUAUUGCACAAUGGGCGGAAGCCUGAUGCAGCAACGCCGCGUGCGGGAUGACGGCCUUCGGGUUGUAAACCGCUUUCGCCUGUGACGAAGCGUGAGUGACGGUAAUGGGUAAAGAAGCACCGGCUAACUACGUG
rnacentral:rRNA from 1 species